rnacentral:rRNA from 1 species
CAUCCUCCAAGGCUAAAUACUCCUGACUGACCGAUAGUGAACCAGUACCGUGAGGGAAAGGCGAAAAGAACCCCGGCGAGGGGAGUGAAAAAGAACCUGAAACCGUGUACGUACAAGCAGUGGGAGCACAGAGCAAUCUGUGUGACUGCGUACCUUUUGUAUAAUGGGUCAGCGACUUAUAUUCUGUAGCAAGGUUAACCGAAUAGGGGAGCCGAAGGGAAACCGAGUCUUAACCGGGCGUUAAGUUGCAGGGUAUAGACCCGAAACCCGGUGAUCUAGCCAUGGGCAGGUUGAAGGUUGGGUAACACUAACUGGAGGACCGAACCGACUAAUGUUGAAAAAUUAGCGGAUGACUUGUGGCU